UGCAUGUCUAAGUAUAAGCAAUUAUACGGCGAAACUGCGAAUGGCUCAUUAAAUCAGUUAUCGUUUACUUGAUAGACCCAUACUACUUGGAUAACCGUGGUAAUUCUAGAGCUAAUACAUGCGAAAAACCGCGACUUCGGAAGCGGUGUAUUUAUUAGAUUAAAGACCAAUGCCCUUCGGGGCUGACUGGUGAUUCAUGAUAACUUCACGAAUCGCACGGCCUUGCGCCGGCGAUGGCUCAUUCAAAUUUCUGCCCUAUCAACUUUCGACUUUAGUGUAGUGGACUAAAGUGGUUGCAACGGGUAACGGAGGGUUAGGGCUCGACCCCGGAGAAGGAGCCUGAGAGACGGCUACUACAUCCAAGGAAGGCAGCAGGCGCGCAAAUUACCCAAUCCCGACUCGGGGAGGUAGUGACAAUAAAUACUGAUACAGGGCUCUUUUGGGUCUUGUAAUUGGAAUGAGUACAAUUUAAAUCUCUUAACGAGGAACAAUUGGAGGGCAAGUCUGGUGCCAGCAGCCGCGGUAAUUCCAGCUCCAAUAGCGUAUAUUAAAGUUGUUGUGGUUAAAAAGCUCGUAGUUGAACCUGGGCCUCGCGCAGACCGGUCCGCCUCACCGCGUGCACUGGUCCUGCCGGGGCUUUCACUAGGGGAUUCGCAUGUCCUUCACUGGGCGUGUGCGGAACCUGGACUUUUACUGUGAAAAAAUUAGAGUGUUCAAAGCAGGCCUAUGCUCGAAUACAUUAGCAUGGAAUAAUAGAAUAGGACGUGUGGUUCUAUUUUGUUGGUUAUGGGACCGCCGUAAUGAUUAAUAGGGACAGUCGGGGGCAUCAGUAUUCAAUAGUCAGAGGUGAAAUUCUUGGAUUUAUUGAAGACUAACUACUGCGAAAGCAUUUGCCAAGGAUGUUUUCAUUAAUCAGGAACGAAAGUUAGGGGAUCGAAGACGAUCAGAUACCGUCGUAGUCUUAACCAUAAACUAUGCCGACUAGGGAUCGGGCGAUGUUACUUUUUGACUCGCUCGGCACCUUACGAGAAAUCAAAGUCUGUGGGUUCCUGGGGGAGUAUGGUGGCAACGCUGAAACUUAAAGAAAUGACGGA
rnacentral:rRNA from 1 species